UGUGAGCCAGGUUGGUUUCUAUCUCUAUUAAGAUAAAAUAUUUUAGUACGAAAGGACCAAAUAUUGUAUUAUAAAUUUUUUAUUAAGAAUUUAGUUAAUAGGAAAUAGUUAUUUUGGCAGAAUAGUGCAAUAGAUUUAGAAUCUUUUUAUGUAAUAAAAAUUACAAAU
rnacentral:tRNA from 1 species